AACGAACGCUGGCGGCAUGCCUAACACAUGCAGGUCGAACGAGACCUUCGGGUCUAGUGGCGCACGGGUGCGUAACGCGUGGGAACCUGCCCUUAGGUUCGGAAUAACUCCCCGAAAGGGGUGCUAAUACCGGAUAAUGUCUUCGGACCAAAGAUUUAUCGCCUUUGGAUGGGCCCGCGUUGGAUUAGCUAGUUGGUAGGGUAAAAGCCUACCAAGGCGACGAUCCAUAGCUGGUCCGAGAGGAUGAUCAGCCACACUGGGACUGAGACGCGGCCCAGACUCCUACGGGAGGCAGCAGUGGGGAAUAUUGGACAAUGGGCGAAAGCCUGAUCCAGCAAUGCCGCGUGAGUGAUGAAGGCCUUAGGGUUGUAAAGCUCUUUUACCCGGGAUGAUAAUGACAGUACCGGGAGAAUAAGCCCCGGCUAACUCCGUG
rnacentral:rRNA from 1 species